CCUACGGGUGGCAGCAGUGGGGAAUAUUGCACAAUGGGGGAAACCCUGAUGCAGCGAUGCCGCGUGAAGGAAGAAGUAUUUCGGUAUGUAAACUUCUAUCAGAAGGGAAGAAAAUGACGGUACCUGACUAAGAAGCCCCGGCUAAAUCCGUGCCAGCAGCCGCGGUAAUACGUAGGGGGCAAGCGGUAUCCGGUUUUACUGGGUGGAAAGGGAGCGUAGACGGCAGGGCAAGUCUGGUGUGAAAGGCAGGGGCUCAACCCCUGGACUGCAUUGGAAACUGGCAGGCUAGAGUGCAGGAGAGGUAAGUGGAAUUCCAAGUGUAGCGGUGAAUUGCGUAGAUAUUAGGAGGAACACCAGUGGCGAAGGCGACUGACUGGACUGUAACUGACGUUGAGGCUCGAAAGCGUGGGGAGCAAACAGGAUUAGAUACCCCUGUAGUC
rnacentral:rRNA from 1 species